rnacentral:misc_RNA from 1 species
GAAAAGUAUAAGUUGGGAAACCCAAAAUCAUUUCACUAUCUUAACCAGUCAAAUUGCUAUGAACUGGUUGGUGUAAGCGAUGCCCAUGACUAUCUUGCCACAAGACGAGCUAUGGAUAUAGUUGGAAUAAGUGCUAAGGAACAGGAAGCAAUUUUCAGAGUUGUUGCUGCAAUCCUUCAUCUUGGCAAUAUUGUCUUUACUAAGGGAAAGGAAGUUGAUUCGUCAGUUCCAAAAGAUGACCAAGCUAAAUUUCAUCUUAAAAUGACAGCAGAGCUACUCAUGUGCGAUCCUGUAGGCUUGGAAGAUGCAUUAUGUAAGCGUGUCAUGAUCACCCCUGAGGAGGUUAUCAAACGAAGUCUGGAUCCUCAAAGUGCAGCAGUUAGCAGGGAUGGUUUAGCUAAGACAAUUUAUUCACGCCUAUUUGACUGGCUGGUGGAUAAAAUUAAUAAUUCCAUUGGACAAGAUGCUAAUUCAAAAUGUCUGAUUGGAGUCCUUGACAUCUAUGGCUUUGAAAGCUUUAAGACUAACAGGUAAUAACUAAUCAAACUACGUAUACAAUUAUAACUGAGUAAAUUGCAUGUGGUAUUGCAGGAAAUUGCUAAUGGAGUUCUCAUAACAAUUCACAAUUCCUACUGUGCAGUUUUGAGCAGUUCUGUAUCAAUUUCACAAAUGAAAAGUUGCAGCAGCAUUUCAACCAGCAUGUCUUCAAAAUGGAACAAGAAGAAUACACUAAAGAACAGAUUGAUUGGAGCUACAUUGAGUUUGUUGAUAAUCAAGAUGUCUUGGAUCUUAUUGAAAAGAAACCUGGGGGAAUAAUUGCUCUCCUUGAUGAAGCUUGCAUGUUUCCAAAGUCAACGCAUGAAACAUUUGCAAAUAAGCUUUAUCAGACGUUUAAAGUUCACAAACGCUUUAUCAAGCCAAAAUUGUCUCGAACAGAUUUCACCAUUGCUCAUUAUGCUGGAGAGGUCCUGUAUCAGUCUGACCAAUUUUUGGACAAGAACAAAGAUUAUGUGGUUCCUGAACAUCAGGAUUUGUUAGGUGCUUCCAAAUGUUCAUUUGUAGCAGGCCUUUUCCCUCCACUUCCAGAAGAAACAAGUAAAUCUUCAAAGUUCUCCUCAAUUGGUUCUCGUUUUAAGCUACAACUACAACAAUUAAUGGAAACGUUAAAUUCUACUGAACCUCACUAUAUCAGAUGUGUAAAGCCAAAU